rnacentral:lncRNA from 1 species
CUUUUUUGGGUUUUGAGGCACAGUCUUGCUCUAUUCUCCCGCCCCUCGCUGCUGGGAUUCUGUGACAUCACGCCCUGCUGUUCAUUGCUGGGAACUGAGCUCAGGGCUCUGUGAAUGCUAGGAAGCCCCGUACCAGGGGCUCACAUUCUCAGUCUACCACACCAGGUUAUAAGGUGUUUUGUUUUGUUGUGUGUGUGUGGGGUUUGUUUUGUUUUGUUUUUCCCUCUUUAAGAUUUUGUUGUUUUAAUUUUUGUAUGUGUAUAUGUGUAGGUACACUCAGAGGCCAAAAGAGGGCAUCAGUGCUCUCCUGGAGUUGGAGUGACAGGCAAUUGGGAGCUGCCUAACAUGGCAGGUAUUGGGAAUCAAACUCCAGUACUCAAGUGAAGCAAGCUCUCUUAACCACCGAGUCAUCUCUCCAGGCUCCGGAGAGAUGGCUCUGUAGUCAAAAAGCACCGGCUGGUCUUCCAAAGGACAUGGGUUCAAUUCCUAGGACCCAUAUGCUGCUCUCUUCUGGCAUCCUUAGGUAUCGGGCACAUACAAUGGUACAGGGGACAUAAGUGCAAGCAAAAUACUCAUAUGCAUAAGAAAAAUUAUUAAAGUUGAGAAUAAUAUAUGCUAAAAAUU